ACCUUAUCAGAGUGUGUGGCCAUUGGCAGUUCUCUCGGGAUCUGCUGUGUCAGCUAUCUGCACAGAGCCGGGGCAGCGCACAGAGGGAACACACACAUGUAACCGACUGUUAUCAUCAUUGAAUAGAGCAGAGCACUACACCAGUGAUGUCUGACAACACUGGUGACCCCAACGGCUGAUCUGGGUUAAGAAGCUCAGUAAACCUAGCUGACACCUGACCAGAGGACCAAUAGGGAGACAAGAUACUUUCAAAUCUUGGUGGAGGGAAGUCUUUGUUUGUGUUCAUGCAGGUCCCCACUUUUGUACUCUAAGGUUCAAAGUGGGGAAAGAAACCUUGACAGUUGCCAAGCACUCUGCUUCUAAUCUUAACCACUCACUAAUAUUUGAAACAUGGGCUUUUCUUAUUUCCAUAUACCACAGUUUUAAAAUAACAUUAAAUACAAAGUAAUGCAAAAUUCCUUGUUACGAAAUUAAUACAAUACAUUUGGCAAAUAUUAAUAUAUUUUAUCAAUUUUUGUUAAAAGUUUUAAAUAAGGUAAUAACUUAUUUAUUCAAAUGUUUAAUCCUUUUUAUUUUUGUUUGCCUUAUUUGGUAUACUUAUGAAUAUAAUUCUGGCGCCAUUUGUUUUUAAUUGGGAGUUUGUCCUGUAUGUCAUGUGUGUUGUCCUAUGUUGUAUGUUGUGUGUGUCAUGUGACUAUUUUUUAUAAUUUUUAUUUUGUUGCAACAAAAGUCAAUUUUAUACCCUUUUAAAAAUGUAUGUAUAUGUGGUACCACACUAUCUUAAGAUCAUGGAUGGGGUAUAAUCAUAAUAUUACUAACACCAAUUUUUUUGUGCAAAGUUCAAAACGGUUUCAGUUACAAAUAUGUGUACAUAUAUUUCUGUCUCAACAAAUAAUGCAAUUGCAAACAAAAAUAAUUCUCUUUUAUUAGUCAUGGUUUGGUUUUGUUUUUUAAGUUUUUUUAUUUGUUAUUCAAAGGAAAAUUGUCAGGGGAAACCUCAACAUUAAGGUAAAGAUAAUAUGAACAAAAUGUAAAUUUCUUGUUUGGGUUUUUAUAAACUUGUUUGCACUUUUAUAUAUAGUUAAAAGAAUGUGAUAGCAAAAAUGUUUAAAAAUAUCAAUUUAGGCAUAAAGCUAACCGAACAAUUUCAACAGGUUUCCACAUUUUCAAUAGGUUUUCACCUUUGGCUCCUAAACAGAACAAAGCGUCAUGAAAGUUUAAUACUGUCAAAAUAUUUGCAUGGACCUGUAUUUAAAAUUUAUUUUGGUUUAAUUUUAUAGUUGGUUUAAUUUUAUACAUUUUUCUUUUAUUAUGUUAUGUUAAUGGGAAGCAGUGGUUGUUAAAGUUUGUGCUUCUAAACAGUUAACAAGAGUGAAAUUGGUAUCACAAGCAAAUUAACGCUAAAAAGCUUGGUAAAAAUUAUGCUAUUGAUUCUUUUGCUAAAACAGAAUGUUCAUCAGGAAAAAAAAGCAAUACGCCUUCGCACAGAAGAUUGUGAGCAUUUAUUUUAGCAAUUAAGCAUUACAUUUAGUAUAAAAUAUUAGUAAUGCACAUCAAAUAAAAAUGAAUGUCUAUGCAAUAAUUGCAAAAGUAUAGCUUGUGUUCUAAAAGACUUGGUCCCUAUUACAUUGUCCCUAUUACAUUGUAAACAAACUUAGUUAAAUUUUGUAUUGAGUUUGAGUUACUGAAAACAAAAACAAAAAAGGAAAACAAACAAAAACUUUACUUUGUUAACUAACAAAAGUUGUUUAAGUUGCAUCCCACAGACCAAAGACACCAGAAAAUAUCAGAAUACAGUGAAGAAACCCCCAAGCAUCAAGAAAAGAACAAUGAAGUGCUUUAUAAACAAGAGGUUGGUCAAAUACACCUCUAUCUACCAUAUAUGAACAAUUAAGUGAACAAUCAGCUAAAAACCACUAGCUGUAGCAGGAUAAACUGUCAUUUAAUUUCAACUUGGUUACUGUGUAAAAACAACUGUAUUAUUGCCGUACUACUGCAGUGGUAAAUCCCGCCACUGACUGAGCCUGUCCAUCGUUAGGGAGCACAUACGUACUAGCAGAACUCAGAACUGUAGAUAUCUGAUCCGGGGAGCUAGAGGCUGUGUUUCAUUUGGGAAUAAACCUAGGUGAGUGCCUUCGUACCUUA